UACGUAGGGGGCAAGCGUUGUCCGGAUUUAUUGGGCGUAAAGAGCGUGUAGGCGGCUUGGUAGGUCCGCUGUGAAAACUCGAGGCUCAACCUCGAGAUGUCGGCGGAAACCACUUGGCUAGAGUCCGGAAGAGGUGAGUGGAAUUCCGAGUGUAGAGGUGAAAUUCGUAGAUAUUCGGAGGAACACCAGUGGCGAAGGCGGCUCACUGGUCCAUUACUGACGCUGAGGUGCGAAAGCGUGGGGAGCAAACAGG
rnacentral:rRNA from 1 species